GUAAAGAGCUCGUAGGUGGUUUGUCGCGUUGUUCGUGAAAUCUCACGGCUUAACUGUGAGCGUGCGGGCGAUACGGGCAGACUUGAGUACUGCAGGGGAGACUGGAAUUCCUGGUGUAGCGGUGGAAUGCGCAGAUAUCAGGAGGAACACCGGUGGCGAAGGCGGGUCUCUGGGCAGUAACUGACGCUGAGGAGCGAAAGCGUGGGGAGCGAGCAGGAUUAGAUACCCUGGUAGUCCACGCCGUAAACGGUGGGUACUAGGUGUGGGUUUCCUUCCUUGGGAUCCGUGCCGUAGCUAACGCAUUAAGUACCCCGCCUGGGGAGUACGGCCGCAAGGCUAAAACUCAAAGAAAUUGACGGGGGCCCGCACAAGCGGCGGAGCAUGUGGAUUAAUUCGAUGCAACGCGAAGAACCUUACCUGGGUUUGACAUGCACAGGACGCCGGCAGAGAUGUCGGUUCCCUUGUGGCCUGUGUGCAGGUGGUGCAUGGCUGUCGUCAGCUCGUGUCGUGAGAUGUUGGGUUAAGUCCCGCAACGAGCGCAACCCUUGUCUCAUGUUGCCAGCGGGUAAUGCCGGGGACUCGUGAGAGACUGCCGGGGUCAACUCGGAGGAAGGUGGGGAUGACGUCAAGUCAUCAUGCCCCUUAUGUCCAGGGCUUCACACAUGCUACAAUGGCCGGUACAAAGGGCUGCGAUGCCGCGAGGUUAAGCGAAUCCUUUUAAAGCCGGUCUCAGUUCGGAUCGGGGUCUGCAACUCGACCCC
rnacentral:rRNA from 1 species